GACGAACGCUGGCGGCGUGCUUAACACAUGCAAGUCGAACGGAAAGGCCCUGCUUUUGUGGGGUGCUCGAGUGGCGAACGGGUGAGUAACACGUGAGUAACCUGCCCUUGACUUUGGGAUAACUUCAGGAAACUGGGGCUAAUACCGGUUAGGAGCUCCUGCUGCAUGGUGGGGGUUGGAAAGUUUCGGCGGUUGGGGAUGGACUCGCGGCUUAUCAGCUUGUUGGUGGGGUAGUGGCUUACCAAGGCUUUGACGGGUAGCCGGCCUGAGAGGGUGACCGGCCACAUUGGGACUGGGAUACGGCCCAGACUCCUACGGGAGGCAGCAGUGGGGAAUAUUGCACAAUGGGCGGAAGCCUGAUGCAGCAACGCCGCGUGCGGGAUGACGGCCUUCGGGUUGUAAACCGCUUUCGCCUGUGACGAAGCGUGAGUGACGGUAAUGGGUAAAGAAGCACCGGCUAACUACGUG
rnacentral:rRNA from 1 species